rnacentral:rRNA from 1 species
GACGUGACUUCAGAGUUUGAUCCUGGCUCAGGACGAACGCUGGCGGCGCGCCUAAUACAUGCAAGUCGAACGGACAGGCCUUCGGGCUUGUUAGUGGCGGACGGGUGAGUAACACGUGGGCGACCUGCCUCUGAGUGGGGAAUAACGCCGGGAAACCGGCGCUAAUACCGCAUACGCUCGGCCCUGCAUUGGGCCGAGGAAAGCUUGAUGUGCUCAGAGAGGGGCCUGCGGCGGAUUAGCUAGUCGGUGGGGUCACGGCCUACCGAGGCGACGAUCCGUAGCUGGUCUGAGAGGAUGAUCAGCCACACUGGGACUGAGACACGGCCCAG